rnacentral:rRNA from 1 species
GACUUCCUUCGGGAAGUGUAUAAAGUGGCGCACGGGUGAGUAACACGUAAGUAAUCUACCCUCGAGUGGGGAAUAACAUCGGGAAACCGAUGCUAAUACCGCAUAACGCAGCGGCACCGCAAGGUGACAGUUGUUAAAGGAGCAAUCCGCUUGAGGAGGAGCUUGCGGCAGAUUAGCUAGUUGGUGAGGUAAUGGCUCACCAAGGCGACGAUCUGUAUCCGGCCUGAGAGGGCGGUCGGACACACUGACACUGAAUAACGGGUCAGACUCCUACGGGAGGCAGCAGUCGGGAAUUUUGGGCAAUGGGCGAAAGCCUGACCCAGCAACGCCGCGUGAGGGAUGAAGUAUUUCGGUAUGUAAACCUCGAAAGAAUGGGAAGAAUAAAUGACGGUACCAUUUAUAAGCUCCGGCUAACUACGUGCCAGCAGCCGCGGUAAUACGUAGGGAGCAAGCGUUGUUCGGAUUUACUGGGCGUAAAGGGCGCGUAGGCGGCGCGGUAAGUCACUUGUGAAAUCUCUGAGCUUAACUCAGAACGGCCAAGUGAUACUGCUGUGCUAGAGUGCGGAAGAGGCAACCGGAAUUCUUGGUGUAGCGGUGAAAUGCGUAGAUAUCA